rnacentral:rRNA from 1 species
AACGAACGCUGGCGGCAGGCUUAACACAUGCAAGUCGAACGGGUGUAGCAAUACAUCAGUGGCAGACGGGUGAGUAACACGUGGGAACCUUCCUAGGGGUACGGAACAACUCAGGGAAACUUGAGCUAAUACCGUAUACGUCCGUGAGGAGAAAGAUUUAUCGCCCUUAGACGGGCCCGCGUCGGAUUAGCUAGUUGGUGGGGUAACGGCCUACCAAGGCGACGAUCCGUAGCUGAUCUUAGAGGAUGAUCAGCCACACUGGGACUGAGACACGGCCCAGACUCCUCCGGGAGGCAGCAGUGGGGAAUCUUGGACAAUGGGCGCAAGCCUGAUCCAGCCAUGCCGCGUGAGUGAAGAAGGCCUUAGGGUUGUAAAGCUCUUUUGCCAGGGACGAUAAUGACGGUACCUGGAGAAUAAGCCCCGGCAAACUUCGUGCCAGCCGCCGCGGUAAAAC